rnacentral:rRNA from 1 species
GAUGAACGCUGGCGGCGUGCCUAAUACAUGCAAGUCGAGCGAACAGACGAGGAGCUUGCUCCUCUGACGUUAGCGGCGGACGGGUGAGUAACACGUGGAUAACCUACCUAUAAGACUGGGAUAACUUCGGGAAACCGGAGCUAAUACCGGAUAAUAUAUUGAACCGCAUGGUUCAAUAGUGAAAGACGGUUUUGCUGUCACUUAUAGAUGGAUCCGCGCCGCAUUAGCUAGUUGGUAAGGUAACGGCUUACCAAGGCGACGAUGCGUAGCCGACCUGAGAGGGUGAUCAGCCACACUGGAACUGAGACACGGUCCAGACUCCUACGGGAGGCAGCAGUAGGGAAUCUUCCGCAAAGGGCGAAAGCCUGACGGAGCAACGCCGCGUGAGUGAUGAAGGUCUUCGGAUCGUAAAACUCUGUUAUUAGGGAAGAACAGAUGUGUGAGUAACUAUGCACGUCUUGACGGUACCUAAUCAGAAAGCCACGGCUAACUACGUG